rnacentral:rRNA from 1 species
UACAGAGGGUGCAAGCGUUAUUCGGAAUUAUUGGGCGUAAAGGGCGCGUAGGCGGCGAUUCAAGUGACGGGUGAAAUCCCUCGGCUUAACCGAGGAACUGCCUGUCAGACUGGGUUGCUUGAGACCGGGAGAGGCGAGUGGAAUUCCCAGUGUAGCGGUGAAAUGCGUAGAUAUUGGGAGGAACACCAGUGGCGAAGGCGGCUCGCUGGACCGGAACUGACGCUGAGGCGCGAAAGCGUGGGGAGCAAACAGG